UAUAGAAGCUUCUAUAAUCUGAGUAACAAGAGGAUACUAUAAAAUUUCAGAAGAGCACUAACUGGCUUGUCCUAACUGGUCCUCAUGGCUUUAGCUUUUCCUUUCAAAUUGCUCGUAUAUGAUCUAAAACUCAGUUGCAUUUGAUAAUGCCUCCCGAUGAAGUGAAGACCUAAUUCAGAAACUGAAAUUAUGAGAAAAAGCCAGCCUUUAAUUUUGAACAGACCCAGAAGUAUUCUUCAAACUUAAAAAGUAAAGAAAUCAUGAUUUAAUGAACUUAAAAAACAGAAAAAUUUCAAGUGUAGGAACUCUCCAAAUCUCUUUUGUAAGCAUGUGUGCAUGUGUGUGUAACUUCAGAGGGCACAGCAGUAAUGAAAGGGCAGCCUCUGUAUUUAUGUAAGUUAUGCAAUGAAAAAAUUCCUAGUUACUAUAGCAACUACUAAUAGCAUGGAAUGUGUAAAGAAGAUAGGAGGCAUCUUAAGUAAAUAGUAGUGUUUUUCCAUGUUUUGUACAUUCCUAGAUGUUUUCAGAGAAGCUCUACUUUAGUCUGUGUGGUAACCAUCUCAGAUACUUCAUUUCACAGUAGGAAACAAGAGUAGGAGAAAGCUCAUCAUCUCUGGGAGCUCAAGCAUGAGACUCUGAAGCAAGCUGUUAAUGGUGGGGAAACCAAGUGCCUGCUCUGCUCACCAGGGAUGCUGGCCCUUCUCUGAAGACAUCAAAUUCCCUCUGUCUUUGGCUCACAGCCUCCGUUCACCCUGGGCUGUCCACAGAUCUUGAACAACUCCUAAUUCUUUAUUAUGACUCACUGGGGCUCAAUCAUGCCCAGCCAUUCCUGGAACCUGCACAGAGAAGACAUUUACAAAGGUAACAAUUGUUGAGCCUUUUUCACUAAAUUAUGUACAAAAGCACAAUAAAUUAACAUACAUGGUA